rnacentral:rRNA from 1 species
AUACGGAGGAUGCGAGCGUUAUCCGGAUUUAUUGGGUUUAAAGGGUGCGUAGGUGGUAUAUUAAGUCAGCGGUGAAAGUUUGUCGCUCAACGAUAAAAUUGCCGUUGAUACUGGUUUACUUGAGUAUAGUUGAAGUAGGCGGAAUGCGUGGUGUAGCGGUGAAAUGCAUGGAUAUCACGCAGAACUCCUAUUGCGAAGGCAACUUACUAAGUUAUAACUGUCACUGAAGCACGAAAGCAUUGGUAUCAAACAGGUUUAGAUGCCCUGGUAGUCCACGCAGUAAACGAUUAAUACUAGCUGUUUGCGAUAUACAGGAAGCGGCACAGCGAAAGCGUUAAGUAAUCCACCUGGGGAGUACGCCGGCAACGGUGAAACUCAAAGGAAUUGACGGGG